AUUGAACGCUGGCGGAAUGCUUUACACAUGCAAGUCGAACGGCAGCACGGGUGCUUGCACCUGGUGGCGAGUGGCGAACGGGUGAGUAACAUAUCGGAACGUAUCCAAUAAUGGGGGAUAACUAAUCGAAAGGUUGGCUAAUACCGCAUACGCCCUACGGGGGAAAGCUAGGGACCUGCGGGCCUGGCGGUAAUGGAGCGGCGGAUAUCUGAUUAGCUAGUUGGUGGGGUAAUGGCCUACCAAGGCGACGAUCAGUAGCUGGUCUGAGAGGACGACCAGCCACACUGGAACUGAGACACGGUCCAGACUCCUACGGGAGGCAGCAGUGGGGAAUUUUGGACAAUGGGCGCAAGCCUGAUCCAGCCAUUCCGCGUGAGUGAAGAAGGCCUUCGGGUUGUAAAGCUCUUUCGCAAGGGAAGAAAACUUAUCCUCUAACAUAGGAUGAGGUUGACGGUACCUUGAUAAGAAGCACCGGCUAACUACGUGCCAGCAGCCGCAGUAAAAC
rnacentral:rRNA from 1 species